AGCAGCCGCGGUAAUUCCAGUUCCAAUAGCGUAUAUUAAAGUUGUUGCAGUUAAAAAGCUCGUAGUUGAAUUUCGGGAUCAAUAUGUUGGUCGUGCCUUGGUACGUACUGGCAUUAUCGAUUCCUACCUUCUGAAGAACCUCGAUGUCAUUAAUUUGGUGUCUUGGGGAAUCAGGACUGUUACUUUGAAAAAUUAGAGUGUUUAAAGCAGGCUCGCGCUUGAAUACAUUAGCAUGGAAUAAUGAAAUAGGACGUUUGAUUCUAUUUUGUUGGUUUCUAGGAUCGACGUAAUGAUUAAUAGGGAUAGUUGGGGGCAUUAGUAUUCAAUUGUCAGAGGUGAAAUUCUUGGAUUUAUUGAAGACUAACUACUGCGAAAGCAUUUGCCAAGGAUGUUUCCAUUAAUCAAGAACGAAAGUUAGGGGAUCGAAGACGAUCAGAUACCGUCGUAGUC
rnacentral:rRNA from 1 species